rnacentral:rRNA from 1 species
AUUGAACGCUGGCGGCAGGCCUAACACAUGCAAGUCGAGCGGCAGCGCAGAAAUAGCUUGCUAUUACUGCCGGCGAGUGGCGGACGGGUGAGUAAUACAUGGGAAUUUGCUUUGUCGUGGGGGAUAACAGAUGGAAACGUACGCUAAUACCGCAUACGCCCUACGGGGGAAAGCAGGGGAUCUUCGGGCCUUGCGCGAUUGGAUAUGCCCAUGUGGGAUUAGCUAGUUGGCGGGGUAAUGGCCCACCAAGGCGACGAUCCGUAGCUGGUCUGAGAGGAUGAUCAGCCACACUGGAACUGAGACACGGUCCAGACUCCUACGGGAGGCAGCAGUGGGGAAUAUUGGACAAUGGGGGAAAGCCUGAUGCAGCCAUACCGCGUGUGUGAAGAAGGCCUUCGGGUUGUAAAGCACUUUUGUCGGGGAAGAAAGGCCACAAGCUAAUAUCUGGUUGCUGUGACGGUACUCACAGAAUAAGCACCGGCUAACUCCGUG